AUGGCUUGUGCCGCCGCUCGGUCCCCGGCCAGCCGACCAGGACAGGUUCAUUUGUAUCUAUCCUGCUUAUUUAAAUAACAAGAAGACCAUCGCGGAGGGGAGGUGAAUCCCCGUAAGUAAGAAAAAUAAAAUGUACUCUAGAGAGUGGAAUCGUGAUGUUCAGUACAGGGGCAGAGUCCGGGUCCAGCUCAAACAGGAAGACGGCAGCCUCUGUCUCGUACAGUUCCCAUCACGUAAGUCAGUAAUGUUGUAUGUAGCAGAAAUGAUACCCAAACUAAAAACAAGGACACAAAAAAUAGGAGGUGGUGACCAAAGUCUUCAGCAAGGAAAGGGAAGUAAAAAAGGGAAAGGAAAGAAGAAGUGA